rnacentral:lncRNA from 1 species
UAUCUUCCUCGAGGGUACGUUAGAGUGCAGGAUUUCAAGUGAAGAUAAUAAAAUACUGUAGUGAUACAAGUGAUGUUGUUGUUCAAUCUAAAAGACAUGACAAACAGAUAUGUAGUACGUACCUGCGUAAUUACUUUCCCCAAAGGUAGCGGCAUAUCCCCACCAACUAUCCCGAAGACAUUCGUUCGUUUACGGCUUGAAGGAGAUUUUGAGAUCACUUUCUUCACUAACUCUUCUGUGGGUUGUACUUAUUGACAUGGAUAUGGAACCAUUUCAUUGCUACGAGUACUCAUUUUAGCAAGGAAACAAGGGCCACCUACCACCAUGAGUUUACUUUCAGUUUCACCAACUACAAGUCAUGAACUACUUGCUACAUUCGUGCAUGCAAAUCGGAAAUUGGAGCGGCGGACUUGCCUGCUACUUGAUCACAUUUUUUCUUUUAGAAAUGUUAGUGAAAGAACGAUGAGAUUUAAAAAGUGAACAGAAAAAAAAAAAAAAAAAAAAAAGAGAAGCUAAACCUAGGAUUUUGGAUUUCUGGCGUUUCAAUCUUAAUCAUUAGAAUAACAUCUCCU